rnacentral:rRNA from 1 species
AUUGAACGCUGGCGGCAUGCUUUACACAUGCAAGUCGAACGGCAGCGCGGGCUUCUGCCUGGCGUCGAGUGGCGAACGGGUGAGUAAUUCAUCGGAACGUGCCCAGUAGUUGGGGAUAGCCCGGCUAAAGCCGGAUUAAUACCGCAUACGACCUGAUGUUGAAAGCCGUGGACCGAAAGGCCUAGCGCUAUUGGAUCGGCCGAUGUGGUAUUAGCUAGUUGGUUGGGUAAAGGCUUACCAAGGCGACGAUCCGUAGCUGGUCUGAGAGGACGACCAGCCACACUGGAACUGAGACACGGCCCAGACUCCUACGGGAGGCAGCAGUGGGGAAUUUUGGACAAUGGGGGAAACCCUGAUCCAGCCAUGCCGCGUGCGGGAAGAAGGCCUUCGGGUUGUAAACCGCUUUUGUUCGGGAAGAAAACCUCUGGGCUAAUACCCCGGGGGCAUGACGGUACCGGAAGAAUAAGCAACGGCUAACUACGUG